rnacentral:rRNA from 1 species
UACGUAGGGUCCGAGCGUUGUCCGGAAUUAUUGGGCGUAAAGAGCUCGUAGGCGGCCUGUUGCGUCCGCUGUGAAAGCCCGGGGCUUAACCCCGGGUCGGCAGUGGAUACGGGCAGGCUAGAGGUAGGUAGGGGAGAAUGGAAUUCCCGGUGUAGCGGUGAAAUGCGCAGAUAUCGGGAGGAACACCGGUGGCGAAGGCGGCGAUCUGGGUCGAUACUGACGCUGAGGUGCGAAAGCGUGGGGAGCAAACAGG